CAGUCGCCGCGGUAAUACGAAGGGUGCAAGCAUUACUCGGAAUUACUGGGCGUAAAGCGUGUGUAGGUGGUUGUUUAAGUCUGUCGUGAAAGCCCUGGGCUCAACCUGGGAAUUGCGGUGGAUACUGGGCGACUAGAGUGCGGUAGAGGAUAGUGGAAUUUCCGGUGUAGCGGUGAAAUGCGUAGAGAUGUGGAGGAACACCAGUGGCGAAAGCACUCUGCUGGGCCGACACUGACACUGAGAGACGAAAGCUAGGGGAGCAAAUGGGAUUAGAUACCCCAGUAGUCCCUGUCUCUUAUAC
rnacentral:rRNA from 1 species